GGUUGCGAUCAUACCAGCACUAAUGCACCGGAUCCCAUCAGCACUCCGCAGUUAAGCGUGCUUGGGCGAGAGUAGUACUAGGAUGGGUGACCCCCUGGGAAGUCCUCGUGUUGCAACCC
rnacentral:rRNA from 1 species